rnacentral:rRNA from 1 species
GCUAUAAUUUACUUGAUCUUGACACAAUCCUACUUGGAUAACUGUGGUAAUUCUAGAGCUAAUACAUGCAUUAAAGCUCUGACCUCACGGGAAGAGUGCAUUUAUUAGAACAAAACCAAGCGGCUUCGGCUGUUUCUGGUUGACUCAUAGUAACUGAGCUGAUCGCAUGGUCUUGCACCGGCGACGUGUCUUUCAAGUAUCUGCCGUAUCAACUUUCGAUGGUAGUGUAUCUGACUACCAUGGUGAUCACGCGUAACGGAGAAUAAGGGUUCGGCUCCGGAGAGUUCGCCUGAGAAAUCGCGAACACAUCUAAGGAAGGCAGCAGGCGCGAAAAUUACCCACUCUCAGCACGAGGAGGUAGUGACGAAAAAUAACGAGACCGUUCUCUUAUGAGGCCGGUCAUCGGAAUGGGUACAAUUUAAACCCUUUAACGAGUAUCUAUGAGAGGGCAAGUCUGGUGCCAGCAGCCGCGGUAAUUCCAGCUCUCAAAGUGCAUAGAAUUAUUGCUGCGGUUAAAAAGCUCGUAGUUGGAUCUGUGCCAUAGGACGUGGUCCACCUUCGGGUGCGUACUACGCUCCUAGGCUUUUUGCUGGUUUUCCCGUCGUAGCCUUCACUGGUUGCGGCGGGUGGCUGGCGAGUUUACUUUGAGAAAAUCAGAGUGCUCAAUACAGGCGUAUCGCUUGAAUGAUUGUGCAUGGAAUAAUAGAAAAGGAUUUCGGUCCUCUUUUAUUGGUUUUGUGGACUGAGAUAAUGGUUAACAGGGACAAACGGGGGCAUUCGUAUCUCUGCGUGAGAGGUGAAAUUCUUGGACCGUAGAGAGACGCCCUACUGCGAAAGCAUUUGCCAAGAAUGUC